GAUGAACGCUGGCGGCGUGCCUAAUACAUGCAAGUCGAGCGAACGGACGAGAAGCUUGCUUUUCUGAUGUUAGCGGCGGACGGGUGAGUAACACGUGGAUAACCUACCUAUAAGACUGGGAUAACUUCGGGAAACCGGAGCUAAUACCGGAUAAUAUUUUGAACCGCAUGGUUCAAAAGUGAAAGACGGUCUUGCUGUCACUUAUAGAUGGAUCCGCGCUGCAUUAGCUAGUUGGUAAGGUAACGGCUUACCAAGGCAACGAUGCAUAGCCGACUUGGAAGGUGAUGAGCCAACAUGGAAAUGAAGAACGGUUCAAGACCCCAACGGGAGGCGGAAGUGGGAAAUUUUCCGCAAGGGGCGAAAGCCUGACGAACCAUCGCGGCGUGAUGGAUGAAGGCUUUCGGAUCGUAAAACUCUGUUAUUAGGAAAGAACAUAUGUGUAAGUAACUGUGCUCAUCUGGACGUUACCUAAGCAUAAAGCCACGGUUAAUUACUU
rnacentral:rRNA from 1 species